rnacentral:misc_RNA from 1 species
AACGCAUAUUGCGCUCGAGGCCUCGGCCAAGAGCAUGUCUGGCUCAGCGUCGAUGUACCCCUCAACCCCCCAAUUAUAUUUAUAUAAUCGGGUGAUUGGAUCUGGUAGUCCCGGCUCUCUCCUCGGAGAAAGCCGGGUCUACUGAAGCACAGAGGCUGAUUAAGGACCGUUUAUGGGCCGCAUCUAGGUAGGCAGCAUCACUGCUACAUAUUUAGGUGUUGGCUUGGCUCUUUAUCAAUAGCCCUCAAACCAGGAAACUUUUACAUUUUCGACCUGAGCUCAGGCAAGAACACCCGCUGAACUUAA